rnacentral:rRNA from 1 species
AUCAGCAGCCAUUUCACCCUACAACUCACAACUGGCAGCCCACUGGAGCUCAGCAGGUGUGAGCCUGGUCUGUACCUGGAUGGGAGACUCCUGGGAAAAACCAAGGUUGCUGCUGGUA